ACUGAAAUAUAGAUCAAACUCCAAAGCAGCUGCCUGAAGCUAUUCUAGCUAUGGUGAAGGCGCCUCCGUGUUUAAAUAUCUGUGGGCACCAAAUCUCCAGCCUGUGUUGUCCCAGAUCAAGAAGUAUAUUUAGAGAAAAUGGAAAAGAUGUGGGCUAUUCCUGUCUCUGCUUUUAAGAUAAAUGCAUUAAAAUGUUACAUAGAUUGAAAACAAUCAGACAGCACCGAAUCCAAUCUUCUUUUUUAUUUUUUUCACAUCUCUGAUGGCAUGAUUUCUCAAAAAGAAAAAGAAAAGAAACAAACCNNNNNNNNNNNNNNNNNNNNNNNNNNNUUGCUGAUCUCUAGUCAAAUUCUUGAUAUCUAUUAACUAUGCCAACUUCAACAUCAGCAGCCUCAAAUAUGUAAUCGGGGUAUCCUCUAAGGUGGCAGCGGGCAAUGUAUUGACCCGGAUUCCUAGGUCACUCGACUAAAUCUACACGAAACCAUCCAUGAGCAUCUCUUUUUAUUCUCCUUCCCCCCCUUCAAGAUUUUUGAGCUUAAGACCAAUACGUGUAAACGGCUCGUAGCAUAACCACGGACAUGUCUCGGGACUAAUAAAUAAUAUUGUGUCCAACUGCACCGCUAGAGCUGUGCUUGGAAAACAAAAAUCCUAAAUAAAACUUCUCUUGGAAAAUCGUACAAAAAUCCUUUCUUAUGCAAGAAAAAUAUUAACGAGUGUCCGAGUUUUAUAUAUAGAUGAGUAGUUGCGAAUGUUUAAUGUGCAAACUCUAUGUAUAUUGUUUAAGAGGAGCCUCAGUACGACUUUUCCUUGAUUAAUUAAUUAUACUGUACCGGUGCACAGUCAUGGUCGCAAACUAAAGCAACAUGAAACCAUAUGGGAUGCUUAAAAUGUGACAGGCACUGCAAACAUAUUUUAAAAUUUUCUAGAACUAUCUUCAAAUUAAGUUUCUUUAAAAUCAACUUCAAAAGAAUUGAAUACAUGCUUACAAGAGAAACAUGUGCCAAACCAAUAGUUUUGGCUAAGAACCCAAAAAUGCAUUUCUUGUCUUGGUUAUGAGAAACGCCAUGGAGCUUCUAUCAUGUGCAUACAAACAAAAAAAACCAUGCUAUAUAAAGAGAUUGAAAGGUAUAACUUGCGAGAAUUAUUUCGAUAUAUGAAGUAUUGGUUGAUUAUUCAACUACUAAAUUGGAUUUUUUAUGUCCAACGAACUCAUUUUGUGUGCAUAUCAUUGGCGCCCUGAAAUAUUUUUCUCUAGAGAUUGCUUUGUAUUCUAUGGGUUACACUCUAAACUUAAUUAAGCAAGAAAGUGGAGACUUAAAGAUGAGGCACAUGAGUCGCAGGAGUCCAAGCUUCUACGAACUAAUUCAAAUUGUGGGCAUAUUUAUCUGGUAAAGAAAUGUCUACAGGCUUUUAAUGUAGUUAUAUAUGUUGUCUACAUGGAGUAUUUUUAGUAUUUAUGAUCUCGAUAAACAGCCUAUAGGCAUAUUAAUAUUAGUUUUUAUCUCCUUAUGAAGUGCUUUGAAAUAUGCAGCGAUUAAGGGCUUUGGAAUUGGACUGGGUAGCCGUUACGAAUUGAUAGAUUCAAUUGGCAAUCUGAAACACCUGCGCUAUUUGUACAUUGAUUAUGGGUCAGGGUUCCCUGGAUCAUUACGUUUCCUUUACAACCUGCAGACACUGGAUCUCACAUCUUCAAGUCUUGCAGAGUUGCCAAAGGCCUAGAAAAUGUCGUAUAAUUGUUCAUUCUUUCAUAAUAUGUUUGAUUAGAGGCUUUAAAUCUGUGUUCCAUUUUAUUUGCUGACAUUCUGACCAUAUCAAACAUCAACGAGAUCAGAAACCAUGGCGUCGACAAUUUUACCAACCUUGAACAUCUUUGUGUAAAGGACAGUGUUGUGCUGGAUUCUCAAACAAACGAGUCGCUACCAUUGUAAACCCCGGACCAGAUGGACCGGCUUGGACCAAAGUCGGCGGUCCAUCUGGUGGUUUCGGGAGUAAAGCGGUGGAGAACCGCAGCUGUUGAGGCAGUUAAAACUGCCUAACAGCCGCGGUCCCCCACCCCUCCGAGCUGGAUGAAGAGCUACAAAAGCCCUGGAGUCCGCUGUAUGGGACUCCAUCGCCACCCUCUCACCUCCCUUACUCUCUUUUCCUCUGUGCAAGGAGUCGGACCGAGAGCUGUGGUGCCGGAGGGGGAAGGAUUCCCAGCUCGCCACCUUGUUGUGCCGCCGGAGCAGACAGAGGAGCUCGCCGGAAUCCUCCACGGCUCAUCGGAGCUAGGUAAUCCCUUAAUUCCCUUUCUUUUCAUUAACGGUUUACCAACUAUUAGCUUAGAUAUAUUCUAGCUAGGGGAUGAUUAACAGAGGAAGAAGGGAAGGGAGAAGAUGAAGAGAAGGAAGGAGAAGGAUCUAACCAAUGAUCGGCUGUUAUCCGACAUUAGCCGGAGAUCCUCCUCCUUCACCCGACGGUGGCUCUUCCUUCCCAUUAAAACCCUAGAUUGAACAAUCUAAAGAUGCUAACCUACCUCUGAUGUACGGAAGGGGCCUCGGCUCGGAUAGAUCGGGUUUCCAGGGGGAACCGGCUUGAUCUAGGCCGGAGGUGGUCGGAGCAGAUGAGCUGAAGGGGGAUCUUCCCUGUUGGCCAUGGUGGUCGCCGGCUUGAAGCAUGAUGGACGUCAUCGGGCUGACCGUGGACGUCGGCCGUGCAUUUUGCGGGCACCACCGGCUUCGGCGGGGCUCCUCUACAUCUCGGUGGUACCCGCAACCCACCUCCUCCACCGGAGGUGGAGAAGGAGAGGGGCCAGCUGGGCCGCGGCCGCUGCAGGCACCGCCAGUUGGCUGCAGCGCCGCCGUCUUCGGGCCGGCCUCAUCCCGAGCCCCUUCCGAGCUCGCCCCUAGCUUCGUGGGGGGAAAGAGGAGAAGAGGAGGAGGGGAUCGGGAUGGAAAAUGGAAGAAGGAAAGAAGAGAAGGUUCGGGAAGGGAGGAGAAGAAAGAA
rnacentral:lncRNA from 1 species